CGUUCAAGUGCUGGUUGGAAAAAAGUAUAUAGCUGAACUUUACUUGUUAUUCAAAACUAAUAUACUAAGAGCGUAAGUAGAAAAAAAUAGAAUUCAUUUUGUAAGGAUACAAUCUUGAAAUAGUAAGAGGAAUUUUCAUAGCAAACGCAAUUAUCACGGCGUAUACUGACACUGAGAAACGAAGCUUGGGUAGUGAACGGGAUUAGAUUCCCUGGUAAACUAUGCUGUAGAGUUCAUGUUUUGAAAUUUUAGACACAAUUUUGAGGCAGCUAACGCGUGCUUAUGCACUC
rnacentral:ncRNA from 1 species